rnacentral:rRNA from 1 species
GACGAACGCUGGCGGCGUGCUUAACACAUGCAAGUCGAGCGGUAAGGCCCUUUCGGGGGUACACGAGCGGCGAACGAGUGAGUAACACGUGGGUGACCUGCCCUCAGCUCUGGGAUAAGCCUGGGAAACUGGGUCUAAUACUGGAUAUGACUCCACGGUGCAUGUCGUGGGGUGGAAAGCCUUGUGCGGCUGAGGAUGGGCCCGCGGCCUAUCAGCUUGUUGGUGGGGNGAUGGCCUACCAAGGCGACGACGGGUAGCCGGCCUGAGAGGGCGACCGGCCACACUGGGACUGAGACACGGCCCAGACUCCUACGGGAGGCAGCAGUGGGGAAUCUUGCGCAAUGGGCGAAAGCCUGGCGCAGCGACGCCG